rnacentral:rRNA from 1 species
GACGAACGCUGGCGGCGUGCCUAAUACAUGCAAGUUGAGCGCUGAAGGUUGGUACUUGUACCAACUGGAUGAGCAGCGAACGGGUGAGUAACGCGUGGGGAAUCUGCCUUUGAGCGGGGGACAACAUUUGGAAACGAAUGCUAAUACCGCAUAAAAACUUUAAACACAAGUUUUAAGUUUGAAAGAUGCAAUUGCAUCACUCAAAGAUGAUCCCGCGUUGUAUUAGCUAGUUGGUGAGGUAAAGGCUCACCAAGGCGAUGAUACAUAGCCGACCUGAGAGGGUGGAUCGCCAAAUUUGGACUGAGACACGGCCCAAACUCCUACGGGAGGCAGCAGUAGGGAAUCUUCGGCAAUGGACGAAAGUCUGACCGAGCAACGCCGCGUGAGUGAAGAAGGUUUUCGGACCGUAAAACUCUGUUGGUAGAGAAGAACGUUGGUGAGAGUGGAAAGCUCAUCAAGUGACGGUAACUACCCAGAAAGGGACGGCUAACUACGUG